UACGGAGGAUCCAAGCGUUAUCCGGAAUUACUGGGCGUAAAGAGUUGCGUAGGCGGCUAUGUAAGCAGCGUGUGAAAUGAUGAGGCUCAACCUCAUGUCCAUGCGCUGAACUGCAUGGCUAGAGCAUGAUAGAGGUAGCUGGAAUUCCCUGUGUAGGAGUGAAAUCCGUAGAUAUAGGGAGGAACACCGAUGGCGUAGGCAGGCUACUGGAUCAUUGCUGACGCUCAGGCACGAAAGCGUGGGGAGCGACCGGG
rnacentral:rRNA from 1 species